GCGUGUCUGCGUGGGCACCUGUGUGCCACCCAGCCGGGCCGUGCAGGUGGCCGGUUUGAGGGUCCCCGGGAGGGGCUGUGGGGCUCAGUCUGCACAGCGCCCACGGGUGCCAGGACCACGGAGGAGGGCACAGGGCCGCAUGCUCCUUUGAAGUUCGUAGGUCACAAGACAGUGCGUGACUGGAUGAGACCUUGGGGUCUGUCCCUGGGGAGACGGUGAGUCUUUUCUCUGUGUGGAAUGGAAGGCACUCAUGGGCGUGUGUUGGCCAAAGGGGUGGACUGUGGCAGAGACUGCUCGUGUACGGAGACGUCUGUGUCACUUCCUGUCCCCCUGGGUGCUCCACGAGGCCACAUUCCCAGCAGUGAGCUGGUCAAGUGACUGAAUUAUGGCCAAAGGAAUGCGGGCAGAGGGAGGCACACCACCUCCAGGCCUGGCCCCGAAAAUCCCGCAUUUUUCUCCGCAUCUCCUCUGUUUUCAUUCCCCGGCUGGACGAUGCCAAGGUGACCUUGGCAGCUGUGUGUUGAAGGUGCAGGUGCACGAAACAGAAGGACCCGGGUCCCUGGAUGACUGCCUGCGUGGAGCUGAGCCCUGGGUGCCCCACGUUGGGUGGUGACGGCCUCGAUCCUGUCCCUGCUGCCUGGAAAUCUCCUGCUCUGUUUGGUCAAAUUCACCUGUUAUCCUUCGGAUCUGAGCCCAAAUGUCACUUCCUCAGGGAAGGAUUCCCGGCACCCUCAGACGGGACUGUGUCCCCGUGUCUCAGUUGUGGAUCUCAGCGCCUUGCAGGCACCUUCUCAGCACCCGUUCCAGAGCACAAGAUGGAAAGAGAGCUCCUUCCUGGACGUCUAAGCUUGCGGGCCUCCGGAGCCCGUUCACCUCCUCAGUGGUGCUGUGUAGGAUAUCGGCCUAGCUGCUGUGACAGAGAGAUUCUGACCCCCGUGCUCCAUUUAAUGGAUGAGGAAACUGAGGCAAAGGCAGAUGCCCCAGGGCACAGCUGCCACCACCCUGCUGGCCGUCCGCCCUCAGGCGCCUGGCUCGGUGGGCAGAAAGGGCAGAGCCCUCCGUGGACUGGGUGCCCUCCUCCCGCUCCAUCAGCCCCAUUUUCUGCCCCGGCUCUGUCUCCCUCACCUUCCCUGACCUCCCCUGUGUCCUGGCCCCUGCCCUAGCCUUGGGCCAGGCCUCCCUGCCUCCUGGAGGCUCCCUGAACCUCAGCACCACUGCCAGGACGCCCUCCCUAAAACUUCCGCCACUUCCGGCGUACACCUUCCAUGCCAUCCCGCUGCACUUGAGCCAAGGCUCAAGUUUCUCCUCCAGAGCCCCACUGAAGCCAGGCCUGCCCUCCGGCGUCGGCACGGCUUUUCUGGGGCAAGUGGAACAGGCAGAGGGCAGAGCUGGGACCAGUACUGAGCUCCCCAGUGGGAGAGGCAUUUGCCAAGUCAGCAAACCUCUUGGUGCCUGUUUCCUCAUCUGAGAAAUGGCACACCACCGCCCUUUCACAGAGUUGCUGCUAAAGCCAAGAGGUUCCAGCGGAGAAGGGCCUGCAUUUGAGAGGGCUAAUUUGUUUUUCUGUUAAAUAAAAAUGGCGUUUCUACAAAAGGCGAUUCGAUCUCCUGUGCACUUGGGAUCCCUGUUUUUCUUGGAGUCCUGGCAUGCCACCUCCUUUUGCCUGUGCCGUCUCUCUGAGCCUCGGUUUCCCCUCCAUGACCAGCGCUGCUUCCUUAUGGGGCUCUGACUAUUUAAGGAGGAGAAAGCCGGCAGCCUGCAGCAGGCGCCCGUCCUCCCGGAGAGCAGGUUUUUUUUUUUUUUUUUAUUGGCACCUGGG
rnacentral:lncRNA from 1 species